UAGGGAAUAUUAGAAAUGGACGAAAGUCUGAUCUAGCAACACCGCGUGUGCGAUGAAGGCCUUCGGGUCGUAAAGCACUUUUUGGAAGGAAUAGGAAGGAAUGUACUUCCAGAAUAAGUCUCGGCUAACUACGUGCCAGCAGCCGCGGUAACACGUAGGAGGCAAACGUUAUCCGGAUUUACUGGGCGUAAAGCGCGUGUAGGUGGUACUGUAAGUAGGGCGUGAAAGCUCCUGGCUCAACUGGGAGAGGCCGUUCUAAACUACAGAACUAGAGGAUGGUAGAGGGAGGUGGAAUUCCAGGUGGAGCGGUGGAAUGCGCAGAUAUCUGGAGGAACACCGGUGGCGAAGGCGGCCUCCUGGACCAUUCCUGACACUCAGACGCGAAAGCUAGGGUAGCAAACG
rnacentral:rRNA from 1 species